GAGAGCGGCAGCUACCAUGCAGUCGAGCGGUAACAGAUCCAGCUUGCUGGAUGCUGACGAGCGGCGGACGGGUGAGUAAUGCAUAGGAAUCUGCCCGAUAGUGGGGGAUAACCUGGGGAAACCCAGGCUAAUACCGCAUACGUCCUACGGGAGAAAGGGGGCUUCGGCUCCCGCUAUCGGAUGAGCCUAUGUCGGAUUAGCUAGUUGGUGAGGUAACGGCUCACCAAGGCCACGAUCCGUAGCUGGUCUGAGAGGAUGAUCAGCCACAUCGGGACUGAGACACGGCCCGAACUCCUACGGGAGGCAGCAGUGGGGAAUAUUGGACAAUGGGGGGAACCCUGAUCCAGCCAUGCCGCGUGUGUGAAGAAGGCCCUCGGGUUGUAAAGCACUUUCAGCGAGGAAGAACGCCUAGCGGUUAAUACCCGCUAGGAAAGACAUCACUCGCAGAAGAAGCACCGGCUAACUCCGUGCCAGCAGCCGCGGUAAUACGGAGGGUGCAAGCGUUAAUCGGAAUUACUGGGCGUAAAGCGCGCGUAGGUGGCUUGAUAAGCCGGUUGUGAAAGCCCCGGGCUCAACCUGGGAACGGCAUCCGGAACUGUCAAGCUAGAGUGCAGGAGAGGAAGGUAGAAUUCCCGGUGUAGCGGUGAAAUGCGUAGAGAUCGGGAGGAAUACCAGUGGCGAAGGCGGCCUUCUGGACUGACACUGACACUGAGGUGCGAAAGCGUGGGUAGCAAACAGGAUUAGAUUCCU
rnacentral:rRNA from 1 species